rnacentral:rRNA from 1 species
CGGAGGGUGCAAGCGUUGUCCGGAUUUCGAUUGGGUUUAAAGGGUGCGUAGGCGGCCCUGUAAGUCAGCGGUGAAAUCCCACGGCUCAACCGUGGAACUGCCGUUGAUACUGCGGGGCUUGAGUUCGCCCGAGGUCGCUGGAAUGCGUGGUGUAGCGGUGAAAUGCAUAGAUAUCACGCGGAACACCGAUUGCGAAGGCAGGUGACUGGGCGCGACUGACGCUGAGGCACGAAAGUGUGGGGAGCAAACACGGAUUAGAUACCCUGGUAGUCCACACCGUAAACGAUGGAUACUAGGUGUCCCGGCCCCUCGGGGCUGGGUGCCCAAGGGAAACCGAUAAGUAUCCCACCUGGGGAGUACGUCCGCAAGGAUAG